rnacentral:rRNA from 1 species
AGAGUUUGAUCAUGGCUCAGGAUGAACGCUGGCGGCGUGCUUAACACAUGCAAGUCGAACGGGGGCGUGAUGUGCGAGAGGGAUAGUUUACUAGACUUCAAACUUUUCACGCCCUAGUGGCGGACGGGUGAGUAACGCGUGGGUAACCUGCCAUAUACAGGGGGAUAACACUUAGAAAUAGGUGCUAAUACCGCAUAAGCGCACAGGGGCGCAUGCCCCGGUGUGAAAAACUCCGGUGGUAUAUGAUGGACCCGCGUCUGAUUAGCCAGUUGGCAGGGUAACGGCCUACCAAAGCGACGAUCAGUAGCCGGCCUGAGAGGGCGGACGGCCACAUUGGGACUGAGACACGGCCCAAACUCCUACGGGAGGCAGCAGUGGGGGAUAUUGCACAAUGGGGGAAACCCUGAUGCAGCGACGCCGCGUGAGUGAAGAAGUAUUUCGGUAUGUAAAGCUCUAUCAGCAGGGAAGAAAAUGACAGUACCUGACCAAGAAGCCCCGGCUAACUACGUGCCAGCAGCCGCGGUAAUACGUAGGGGGCAAGCGUUAUCCGGAUUUACUGGGUGUAAAGGGAGCGUAGACGGUUAUGUAAGUCUGGAGUGAAACCCCGGGGC